rnacentral:rRNA from 1 species
CAUGCAAGUCGAACGCGAAAGGGGAGCAAUCCCUGAGCGAGUGGCAAACGGGUGAGUAACACGUGGGUGACCUGCCUCAGAGUGGGGGAUAACGUCCCGAAAGGGACGCUAAUACCGCAUAACAUCCUGCCUUUGGAAAGGCGGAGAUCAAAGCCGGGGAUCGCAAGACCUGGCGCUUGGAGAGGGGCCCGCGUCUGAUUAGCUAGUUGGUAGGGUAAUGGCCUACCAAGGCGACGAUCAGUAUCCGGCCUGAGAGGGCGGACGGACACACUGGGACUGAGACACGGCCCAGACUCCUACGGGAGGCAGCAGUGGGGAAUUGUUCGCAAUGGGCGCAAGCCUGACGACGCAACGCCGCGUGGAGGAUGAAGAUCUUCGGGUCGUAAACUCCUGUCGAGCGGGACGAACACCUAUCCGGCUAACAUCCGGAGAGGCUGACGGUACCGCUAAAGGAAG